AUUACAGUGGGCUCUAAUACGAUUUGACUGGUGUCCUUGUAAGAAGGGGAAAUUUGAACAUAGACACAUACAUAGAUAGGGAAGGAAAUGCGAAGACACACAGAAAGAUGACCAUCUUACAAGCCAACAAGAGAGGUCUUAAGCAGAUCCUCUCACAAUCUCAGAAGGCACCAACACUGCCAACAUUUCACUCUCUGACUUCCAGCCUCCAGAAGUAGAUCAGGAUAGAAUUGCUGUUUGACAUCUCUCCCAACUUCCUUAUGCUCUCCGGAGCAGAACACUUCACAGCAGUUAUCAAUCCCAGGGGGAGGAUCCAAACACUUCUUCCUAUUGCAUCUUGGAACUGGAGUCACUAAGAAAAAUGCAACAUGGUCAAGCACUGGGUAGAACAACACACUUUACUUACAGAGAGAAGAAACAGAACAAGAUAAGCUUAAUAGAGUGCUGUGAUCCCUUAUGGCUAGCACGUCACCCAGGCAGGUCACCCAGGCAGGUGGCUGAGAAUGGGCAAUUGGCCUACACGCACCCCUGUCGGGCUGAAGCAGAAGAACCCAACCCCUCCUCCAUGGAGUCUGAAAUAGUAAAAACUGGGUAUGUUCCUGAGGACCAUUGACUUACGAGCUUAAACGGAACAAAGGAGUGCACCCUGAGCUUAUAAGAAAAGAUACUUGCAUAUAAGACAAUAGGCCCUGCAGAGGCUAUCUGGGCUUUUGAUGUUUUGCAAUAAAAAAUUUCUAGGAUCAAGGCCCAUUUUUAUGCAGUCAACUGGGGGUGGAAAGACCCCACAAACUACCUUUCCCAACAGCCUGUCUUCCUUGUUGAGAAAAUUCUCUCAAGGUAUUUACCAGCAGUAAGUUGUUUGAUCCUCUAGAAUGUCUAAUGUCAUCUUGAUGUUGGAUUAUUGUGUUACCAAGCUAACACAAGUGAUGCCAAGAAUAGCCUGAGAAAUGCAGCAGUAAGAUGGGGAUUUAUGACUGACCCACCCCCUUGCUGGCGGGUGAGAGGAUGCCAUCUCUGUUGGAAGGUGAGGCUCGAAUCAUUCUUGGCACAAAGUCCCAGGUCAGUCAUCUGCCAGUUGGUGUUAGCCAGUGUCAAAGGACAAGACUACAAUACAUUUAGUUAAUGAUAUAACUGGCUUUCUUUCAUGAUUCAUGAAUUGGGGUAGCAUUCUAUUCUGUAGAAUAAGAGCUUCCCUGAGCUGAGCAGAAAAGGAUGGCUUCAUAGGCAGAAAAAGACUGAAGAAAGAAAUAAUGAAUGGAAAGUGAAUUGCUUGUUCCAGGGUUACUUUCCUUACAGAAUUAAAACGAGGGGACUUCCUUAUUAUGCUAAAUUGAAUUGACUGGAAUCUUGCUUGUUUUUCUUCUUGAAAUUUUGCCCAUUUCAAAGUUCAGUUUGAUUAAGUGGCACUUAUCAGGAGUGACUCCAUUCUGGUUUGGUCUGGUCUACUGAGGCCUAGUGCAGGAAGGCAGUUCAAGACAAUGACCUCCCAUAAAAUUUGGUUAACAUCAUGCUUUAUUAUCAGUCACAUGAAAACUGCCUGAAUUGUCACAGAAUGGAGUGGCAAAGUUGGAGACUACAUGUGGAUCUAAGAGCUUAGACGCUUAAUUAUAAUAGCUGAUCUAGCUACUCCUGCCUCUGAAAGACCAACUUGUCAACCUUUAAUAUGAAUAUCCCUUAAAGGAACCUAAAGGACACUUGGUGGUAAAUUGACUAUAUUGAGCUUCUCCCUUCCACGAAGGUCGUGGAUACCCAUUCUGGUUAUAAGUCUGCUUUGCCACCCUUGAGUCUGAGCCAAAAUCCUUCACUGGUGCUUAUGGUAUGCCUGAUACACAGCGUAGCUUCUGAUCAGGAAACCCUCUUGACAGUGAAGGAUGUGAGGGGCAAAGCCCAAACCCAUGGGCUUCAAUCAUUGUAUCACACACAGACCCAUCCAUAAGCAGCUGGUAUCACAAGGUGUUGGAAGAGCUUCUAAAUGCACCCUCCUCAAGUCUCAGGUGUAAGACAAUAAUCAAAAAGGAUGUGGUAUUUCAUAGGAAGAAAAAAGUUGUUCAUCAUUAGAAAGAACAGAAGGUCUUGAAACCAAGGAGGAGAAAAACGAGUAACUCCACUUACUACACUUCCUAUUGAUUUAAUGAAGGAUUUGCUUCCCAUCUCUGCAAAUCUGGGUUCAUCAGCUUGAAGGUCCUGUUCCUCAAAGCUGGUGUAUUUUGGUGACUAGAAGCAGCAAGUGUCCCAAUGGACUACCAUUUAUGACUACCAGGGAAGUUCAGACUCCUUGUGCCCAAAGUUUACCAGGAAGAAAGGCCUGCAGAUACAAUAGAAAAGCCUUCACACAAAUCUGCUGGAGAAGUAGAUCCGGGUGAAACAGCAGGAAAACUGUCGUAAAAAUGCAUAUCUCAGAUCUCCUACUAGUAGGGUCAUAAGCAACCCAUGACUCCAGCUGCUGAGGUCUAAAUCUGUCACUACUUAUGCUCGGAGACUAUUUCCUGUGGAGGAAGUAUUCUUAACCAAUUACUGCAUUUGGCUGUGAUAUGAAAGUUGGCUCAGUCCUGUAAGUUUCCAGAUUCUUCUAAGAGUGAACUGCAUUGUAAUCUGAGAAUUUAUGUUUUCCCUUCCUUUCAUUCUUCUCUUUCAAAGGGUUUAGUACUACAUUGUAGUUCGAUGGUUUUCCAGCCUCCUCUGGUUUCUCAAUACACAAAAGUUCUUCCAGUAAAUCUUUUACAUACAUAA
ensembl:lncRNA LINC00559 long intergenic non-protein coding RNA 559